UACGUAGGGGGGCAAGCGUUUGUCCGGAAUCAUUGGGCGUAAAGCGCGCGUAGGCGGCCCGGUAAGUCCGCUCUGAAAGUCCAGGGCUCAACCCUGGAAAGCGGGUGGAUACUGCCGGGCUAGAAUCCGGAAGAGGCGAGUGGAAUUCCUGGUGUAGCGGUGAAAUGCGCAGAUAUCAGGAAGAACACCCGUGGCUAAGGCGGCUCUCUAGUACGGUACUGACGCUGAGACGCGAAAGCGUGGGGAGCGAACAGG
rnacentral:rRNA from 1 species